UACGUAGGGAGCAAGCGUUGUCCGGAAUUACUGGGCGUAAAGGGCGCGUAGGUGGAUGCUUAAGUCAGAUGUGAAAACUCCGGGCUCAACUUGGAGAUUGCAUUUGAAACUGGGUAUCUUGAGGGUAGGAGAGGAAAGUGGAAUUCCCAGUGUAGCGGUGAAAUGCGUAGAGAUUGGGAGGAACACCAGUGGCGAAGGCGGCUUUCUGGACGAUAACUGACGCUGAGGCGCGAAAGCGUGGGUAGCAAACAGGAUUAGAUACCCCUGUAGU
rnacentral:rRNA from 1 species